rnacentral:rRNA from 1 species
UACGUAGGGGGCGCGCGUUGUCCGGAUUUAUUGGGCGUAAAGAGCGUGUAGGCGGCCAGGUAGGUCUGCUGUGAAAACUCGAGGCUCAACCUCGAGACGUCGGCGGAAACCAUCUGGCUAGAGUCCGGAAGAGGAGAGUGGAAUUCCUGGUGUAGCGGUGAAAUGCGCAGAUAUCAGGAAGAACACCCGUGGCGAAGGCGGCUCUCUGGGACGGUACUGACGCUGAGACGCGAAAGCGUGGGGAGCGAGCAGG